UACGAAGGGGGCGAGCGUUGUUCGGAAUUAUUGGGCGUAAAGGGUGCGUAGGCGGUUUGGUAAGUCUUAUGUGAAAUCUACAGGCUCAACUUGUAGUCUGCAUGAGAAACUGCCGGGCUUGAGUAUGGGAGAGGUGAGUGGAAUUCCUGGUGUAGCGGUGAAAUGCGUAGAUAUCAGGAGGAACACCUGUGGCGAAAGCGGCUCACUGGACCAUAACUGACGCUGAUGCACGAAAGCGAGGGGAGCAAACAGG
rnacentral:rRNA from 1 species